UCACUGACCACCUCUGCUUGUUUUGGCUCCUUCUAAUUGAUGUGUUACUUUGUCUAUUUUCAUGUACCCAGAUCCCUGACAAAAUCCAUGUAUUUAACCGUGGCAUGUUUGGCAGCUGCAGCCGCGUGGCAAUUAAUUAAUUCUCAUUCAACGUAAUUUACUUCUCCCCCUUUAUGUAUCAUGGAUGGAUAUACAUGGUGGUUGGCUGUUAUUAUCGAAGCAAGAGUUACUGAUGAUGACUACAUUUGAGCUGGUUUGCUGCUUACAAAUCGGGCACUGUUUUAGUUGUUAGUUCAGGUGCUUUUGAUUUUCUGAAUGUAUCUAGAUAUCAGUGGUCCAUGUCACAAUAAACAAGUGAUUCGUACUUAAACAUGACAUGGGGAACCUUGGAUACACCAUUCAGGACAGGGAUAUACUCGAUCUGAGAGAACAUGGGCUUCUUGCCUCCGUCUUUUGUACCCAGUUUACUAGAUAUUAGAUAACAGUGGGUAUUUAAAAAAAUUGUUACAGAAGUGCCUUGAAUAUAUUCAGCAUAAAUGGGAUGACCAGGACAUAUGUGAAUCGGAUUUCUUAUUAACUAUACUUGGAAAACGAUGAUGUGAUGAAGAUAUGUCUGCACAUGAAUACGACGGUUAUAGAUUUCAGUUGUGCUCUUAAGCAUAAUUCUGCAUCUACAACUAUCGUCACUGCUGUCUAUAUUCCAUUUUUAGAUUCGAAAAUGAUUCCGAUGAUUCUUGUCUGCCUUGGGCAACCUUUCCAUUUCAGUCUCAUGUAGGAUUUUGGUCCCCGUGAUCUUCCUUGCAUAGAUGACCUACUCCCAAUCCUCCUUACCUCCCCUCUGACUCCUUUAUGUCUCAGUGGUUGCCCAGGCUUUCGUUCAAAUUUGGCAUGAUUUUUUGGUACACAUUACCCAACCAACGCCCUCCCUUUCAAAGGAAAAUGAUGAUUUUUUGUACUUAAGUGUGUUGUGUGCUGUCUGUGGCACUGUGUUGGAUUUUUAGAGAAAAUAUCAUUGUUGCUUCACUGCUAUAUGUGGUUUGAGUUGAUGCUCUGUUCAGAAAGAAACAAGUUUAGAAUAGGUAAAUUUUAGUUAACCCCAUUGUUUUGCUUUAGGCUAUCCUUUGUAUUUUCCUUGUCAUGUUUCGUGCUUCAUAGCAUGUGUAUGGAAGCAUAUAAAUACAGCAAUAUAAACUGCAGUUGUAGUAUCACAUUUGUCUAUCAUAAAUGUGUAGAAAUUUGAGAGCUUAACAGGAGAAUAGAAUCAAGGAGAAGAAUGAAUGCUUAGUUCUAUGCGUAUGCAUGUAGAAGCAUCUCCUUGAUCAUUGAUCACGGCAACUAGGAAUCCAUCAUACAUCUAUACUAUCUGCACAAGCACACAUAAUUCGGUUUAAACUAUUUAUGGUUUCUGAGA